rnacentral:ncRNA from 1 species
UCUUAUCAAGAGUGGUGGAGGGAGCGGCCCUGUGAAGCCCGGCAACCGGCAUGGAUAUGCACGGUGCCAAAUCCAGCGGAAUGAAUAGUUCCGCAAAGAUGAGA